UACGUAGGGGGCGAGCGUUGUCCGGAGUUACUGGGCGUAAAGGGCCCGCAGGCGGUCAGGCCAGUUCAGACUGACAAUGACGCACUUAAUGCGUCGAGGUGUCUGGAAACUACCUGACUUGAGGCAGAGAGAGGGACAGGGAAUUCCGGGUGGAGUGGUGAAAUGCGUAGAUAUCCGGAGGAACACCAAAGGCGAAGGCACUGUCCUGGCUCUGACCUGACGCUCGGGGGCGACAGCCAGGGGAGCGAACGGG
rnacentral:rRNA from 1 species